UACGGAGGGUGCAAGCGUUAUCCGGAUUUAUUGGGUUUAAAGGGUGCGUAGGCAGCUUUAUAAGUCAGGGGUGAAAGACGGCAGCUCAACUGUCGCAGUGCCUUUGAUACUGAUGGGCUUGAAUGUGAUUGAAGAUGGCGGAAUGAGACAAGUAGCGGUGAAAUGCAUAGAUAUGUCUCAGAACUCCAAUUGCGAAGGCAGCUAUCUAAGUCAUGAUUGACGCUGAUGCACGAAAGCGUGGGGAUCGAACAGG
rnacentral:rRNA from 1 species